AAAGAUUGCCCUGGCCAAAGUCUUACUAAAUUGAAACACAAAGCAUUCUCUCCAAUCCUUUGGAGUGGUUAAUUUCAUCUUGAUUCAUGCACCGACUUCAUAAGUACUUGACUGUACCCAAAAACUUUUUGAUCCUGAAUUAAAAAUUCAGGUAGUCCGGUACCAAAGCACAGUGAGUUGCUUGCAAGUCACCAUGGUGAUCUCA
rnacentral:lncRNA from 1 species